rnacentral:rRNA from 1 species
AAGUCCCGCCUGCCCAGUGACUGUUUGUUCAACAGGCCGCGGUACUUUGACCGUGCGAAGGUAGCGCAAUCACUUGUCUUUUAAAUGGAGACCUGUAUGAAUGGCUAGACGAGGGCUUGACUGUCUCCUUUUUCCAGUCAAUGAAAUUGAUCUUCCCGUGCAGAAGCGGGAAUGAUAACAUAAGACGAGAAGACCCUGUGGAGCUUUAGACACUAAAUCAGCCCUCGUCCAAACCCCCCAUUAAAGGGCAGAACGCCAAAGUGAGACCUGAUCUGAUGUCUUCGGUUGGGGCGACCUUGGGGAAAGAAAAAACCCCCGCGCGGAAUGGAAGUACUACUUCCAAAACUAAGAGCCACCACUCACAGUACCACAAAUUUUGACCAACAAUAUGAUCCAGCUUAACGCCGAUCAACGGACUAAGUUACCCCAGGGAUAACACCGCAAUCCUCUUCUAUAGCCCAUAGCGACAAGAGGGUCUACGACCUCCAUGGAGGAUCAGGACACUCCCAAUGGUGCAGCCGCUAUCAAGGGUUCGCUUGCUCUACUAUUGGAUCAUUAGUUGAU